CAAAAUUUAGCGCCUAGAUUACUAGGAAAUGGAAUAUAAAGGAUUAGAUUAAAACGAAAUAUAAAAGUAUAGGGACUCAGAGGGCAAUUAUCCCAAUCCUAUUUACAUGUGCCCUUCCCUCAGAGGGUCAACAAUGGGUCAAGGGACUAAAUUGCACAAGAAUAAAAUAAAAAGGAUAAAAAUAAAAUAAAUAAAACUGAAAUAGGACAAAAUUAAAAAGAAGUAAAAAAGCAGAUGGACCAAAAUGGAAAUUAUCCCC
rnacentral:lncRNA from 1 species